rnacentral:rRNA from 1 species
AUUGAACGCUGGCGGCAGGCCUAACACAUGCAAGUCGAACGCGUGGCGGACGGGUGUGUAUUGUCUGGGAAACUGCCCGUUGUAGGGGGAUAACUCCACGAAACGGUAUCUAAUACCGCAUCCCCUCGCAUGUGCCCCGAUGGGAUUAGAUAGUAGGUGGGGUAACGGCUCACCUAGGCGACGCUCCCUAGCUGGUCUGAGAGGAUGACCAGCCAAACUGGAACUGAGACACGGUCCAGACUCCUACGGGAGGCAGCAGUGGGGAAUAUGGAACAAUGGGCGCAAGCCUGAUGCAGCAAUGCCGCGUGUAUGAAGAAGGCCUUCGGGUUGUAAAGUACUUUCAGCGAGGAGGCGUUACUCGCAGAAGAAGCACCGGCUAACUCCGUGCCAGCAGCCGCGGUAAUUC